CGCGUAGGCGGCUGAACAAGUUGGAUGUGAAAGCCCUGGGCUCAACCUAGGAUGUGCAUUCAAAACUGUUCGGCUUGAAUCUCGGAGGGGGUCAGAGAAUUCCCGGUGUAGAGGUGAAAUUCGUAGAUAUCGGGAGGAACACCAGUGGCGAAGGCGCUGACCUGGACGAUGAUUGACGCUGAGGCGCGAAAGCGUGGGGAGCAAACAGGAUUAGAUACCCUGGUAGUCCACGCCGUAAACGAUGAGUGCUAGACGCUGGCGGAUUGACCCCGUCGGUGUCGAAGCUAACGCGUUAAGCACUCCGCCUGGGGAGUACGGUCGCAAGACUAAA
rnacentral:rRNA from 1 species